AGCUCAAAACCGCAUACUUAUCUGUCACACAGGGGCAAGGCGGUGCAGCUCCACACGGAACGUGCCUAGCUUAGCUUCGCCUACCUAGGCCGCUGCCUGCCGGGCCCUAUAAAUCCCUCGCGCCGCGGCGAGCUGCGGAGGGGAUAUCUCGGCGAGCUGUCUGUCCGUCCGUCGUGUUGCACAAGCUCUCGUCAUUGCUCGCCUCAUUCACAGCUAGCUACUUAGCUACGAGCUCGUGCUGCCGGCCGGCCGGUCAUGUCGUCGACGACGCAGAGCGCGGCCGUGUCGGCGAAAUGCGCGGCGUGGGCGCAGGAGCGGCGGCCGUUCACGCACCCGAUCGAGAUCCCGGCGGCCUCGGGCGCGCCGGACGAGCGGAGGGGCCGCGGCGAGGAGGAGGACGGCGGGGAGGUGGAGCCGCCGCACGUGCUCAUGGCGCGGCGCAGGGCGGCCUCCUCGGUGUGCUCCGGCCAGGGGCGGACGCUCAAGGGCCGGGACCUCACGCGCACGCGCGACUCCGUCCUCCGCAUGACCGGCUUCAUCGAGAGCUAGCCCCUCCUUGCCGCGCGCGCGCGCGCCCGCCUGUCUCGCUCGUGGCCAGCGGCGCGCGGCCGGGCUCAAGGGUCUUCUUGGGUUGAUCCAGUUUGUGUAGUAGAGUAAAUAAGAUAGCUACGGAGCCUAGGGCGGAUGCCGCUGAAUUUUCUUCAAUCGGUCUCAUUUGUGAAUUGGUUGGAAUCGGAAGAGCGAGAUGAAAUUUAAUCCGUUGGUGUAAAACUUAUUCUGUUUGUACGCGCGCGCGUGUGUGUGACAUAUACUACUCCAUAUGUAAAAAAAAACAUAUACUUCAUAUGUAAAAAAUAAUAAGUACAUAUGGUCAAAAUGCAAAUGCAAUGUGGUUUUCCAUCUACACAUCGCUGACUCGCUGCUGAUUCAGUAACUGCGACGCGCGCGCACACUGCACCGGCAUCUAUGUGGACACUGGACUCAUUCAAACAACUACUGGAUCAGCUGUGGGAUUACAUACAUGGGUAACUUCUGAAAAUCCCCAUGCAAGAUAAUACUAGUGCUAGCAUAGGACAAAAAUGGCUGGAUGGGUAGUUGGGUAAUCAGCUUAGAGAGUCCUAGAUAUAUACCCCAUCCAGGCAUCCACCAUCUAAUAAUACUACUAUUAAUACGUACUUACCCUAUCCAAAUACACACCAACAAAGCUAGCUAGGGGAUCAAGUCAAGCAAAGGACGAUGCAACGGGAAGAGCAGGAGGGGGAAGAAUUCCAUGAAGCAGACAUACUGUGGCCAGAGCCAGAUGCAGCCCAGGAUCCGGGCUACUCUGACGACGACGGCGACGAAGGCCAUGACGAGCACUCCGGCGAGUACCGCCGCUUCGCCCGUCCGGCCAAGGCGCCAAACCGGCGGAAAGCGUCUUCCCCUAUCGACAUCCCCGGGAAGACCGGUAAGGCUACUGGUGCAAAGGCGCCGGCUCAUCAGGCCGGGUUGAGCAAGUUCGGCGCGAGCUUUGCGGGCGCCGGCGCCGGCAGCCUGGUGAUCGGCAGCCAUGUCUUCGUGCCGCCGCACGUCAGCGUCGACCGGAGGGCCAAGAGGGACACGGCGAUGCUGAUGCUCCUCGACGCGCCCAAGGUCGGGAGAGUGAGGGCGAUGGUGAUGCUCGACUAAUACCGAAAGUUUUUUUUCCCACCCUACCGAAAGUUUUCGUCGAAAAUGUUCGCUUCAUUUCAAAUAAUUUUGAGCCAUUUUUGUGUAAUUGACGUGAAAGCGAGCUCCUCCUACUGUUUACCUCGAAAUGGCACAGCGAGUC
rnacentral:rRNA from 1 species